rnacentral:lncRNA from 1 species
GCCAAGACUGGAGCCUAGCUGCUUGUACUAACCAUGCCAGUGCCACCAUUAACCCCAAGUCACUAGUGGUAGCUACUUCUGACUAUGACUGUAGUCACUGUCUCCUGGAGAGGAGCCUGGCCACCAGAUUGAUAGUCCCAGCUGAGACUCUCUCCUGAACUGAUAAGCUGUUUUGCAUGCUUGGAAUGCCUUUCCCCAGUUUGUUCACCUGAUAAACUCAUCCUUAUCCUCAAGAUUCAGC